rnacentral:rRNA from 1 species
AUUGAACGCUGGCGGCAGGCCUAACACAUGCAAGUCGAGCGGAUGAAGGGAGCUUGCUCCUGGAUUCAGCGGCGGACGGGUGAGUAAUGCCUAGGAAUCUGCCUGGUAGUGGGGGAUAACGUCCGGAAACGGGCGCUAAUACCGCAUACGUCCUGAGGGAGAAAGUGGGGGAUCUUCGGACCUCACGCUAUCAGAUGAGCCUAGGUCGGAUUAGCUAGUUGGUGGGGUAAAGGCCUACCAAGGCGACGAUCCGUAACUGGUCUGAGAGGAUGAUCAGUCACACUGGAACUGAGACACGGUCCAGACUCCUACGGGAGGCAGCAGUGGGGAAUAUUGGAGAAUGGGCGAAAGCCUGAUCCAGCCAUGCCGCGUGUGUGAAGAAGGUCUUCGGAUUGUAAAGCACUUUAAGUUGGGAGGAAGGGCAGUAAGUUAAUACCUUGCUGUUUUGACGUUACCAACAGAAUAAGCACCGGCUAACUUCGAG